UGAACAAAUGAAAUCCAUACAUACAGAAACUGAAUUUUGAACUCGAUUUUGCUAUGAACUUGUGGGUCCUUACUUUUGUGAGUAUCGAAGUAUAGGUUGCGUCGCCGGAAUUUAAGAGCAGAGGGAGGAGAUAGGCGGUUUCAGGGAGGCAGUGGCUGCCGAAGCUCCUGUUGUUGACGGCGACGGUGCUCCUUCAGUGGGGAGGCCGACCCGCCGACAUGAAGCGGCAGCAGCGGAUUCAGACGGCGGUGGCGGCGGCUGACGAAGCUACUGUUGUCGACGGCGGCGUUCCUUCAGUGGGUGAUGUGUGUGUGUGCUGUCAACAAGAGAGAGAGAGACCAGCGACGUUCCUUCAGUGGGCGGACAGCCGGAGGGGGAGGGUGGGUCUGGACAGAUAUGGAGAAACGGGGAGAGGUGACAGGAAG
rnacentral:lncRNA from 1 species